rnacentral:misc_RNA from 1 species
AAGUCGUAACAAGGUUUCCGUAGGUGAACCUGCGGAAGGAUCAUCAAUAGUUCCUAAAGUGCCGUGUAUUCUACACGGUGCUUCAAACCUUUUUGUGAAUUGUGUUGAUGUACUCGGUGGGUGGUAUUUGUGAGUGGUGUGGUUUUUUGUUAAAUCGCAUUGCCACUCACUCUGUCUGCCCACCGUCAAUAUUAUCGUAACAAACUCUAAAUAUAUUUCAAAAGUCUGAUAAAUUAUAUAUUUAUAUAUAUAAAAUGUAAAUACAACUUACAGCAAUGGAUCUCUUGGCUCUG